UACGUAGGGGUGCGAGCGUUGUCCGGAAUUAUUGGGCGUAAAGGGCUCGUAGGCGGUUUGUCGCGUCGGGAGUGAAAACUCAGGGCUUAACCCUGAGCCUGCUUCCGAUACGGGCAGACUAGAGGUAUGCAGGGGAGAACGGAAUUCCUGGUGUAGCGGUGAAAUGCGCAGAUAUCAGGAGGAACACCGGUGGCGAAGGCGGUUCUCUGGGACGGUACUGACGCUGAGGCGCGAAAGCGUGGGGAGCAAACAGG
rnacentral:rRNA from 1 species